GUGAGGGCCCCACUUCUAUAAAUGAGGGACUACAAACAUUUAAGAAAAGUUUCCCUUCUUUCACACUCUUAAUCGUGCAAUAGAGCUAAGUCACAGAGAUCUAUUCUAACUCGUGCAUUCUCAGAAUCAUUCGACUACCCAUCAUACUAGAGGUGGUUGAAAAGCAGAGUCAGUUCUUUGUCGAUGAGUUGUUCUUAGCAAUAGUCUUGAGAAAGUCAUGAGAAUUCAGAGGGGCUUAAGAGAAGCCCAAGAGUAAG
rnacentral:lncRNA from 1 species